rnacentral:rRNA from 1 species
GACUGUACUAAGGUAGCAUAAUCAUUAGUUUUUUAAUUGAAAGCUGGUAUGAAUGGUUGGACAAAGUAAUAGCUGUCUCUUUAUAAAUUAUUGAAUUUUAUUUUUAAGUGAAAAARCUUAAAUUAUUUUAAAAGACGAGAAGACCCUAUAGAGCUUUAUUAUUAAUUAUUAAUUUAUUUAAUAGAAAUAUUUUGUUAAUUAAAAGUUAAUAAUUUAAUUGGGGCGAUUGAAAAAUUUAGUAAACUUUUUUUUUAUUUAACAUUAAUUUAUGGUAUAAUGAUCCAUUUUUAUGAUUAUAAGAUUAAGUUACCUUAGGGAUAACAGCGUUAUUUUUUUUUAGAGUUCUUAUCGAAAAAAAAGUUUGCGACCUCGAU